GAUGAACGCUGGCGGCGUGCUUAACACAUGCAAGUCGAACGGAGAAAGGGUAGCUUGCUAUCUUUUCUUAGUGGCGGACGGGUGAGUAACGCGUGGGUAACCUGCCCUUUGCAGGGGGAUAACAGUGAGAAAUCACUGCUAAUACCGCAUACCAACUUCUUUCGCAUGAAGGAAGUUUGAAAGAUUUAUCGGCAAAGGAUGGGCCCGCGUUGGAUUAGCUAGUUGGUGAGAUAACAGCCCACCAAGGCAACGAUCCAUAGCCGGCCUGAGAGGGUGAACGGCCACACUGGGACUGAGACACGGCCCAGACUCCUACGGGAGGCAGCAGUGGGGAAUAUUGCACAAUGGGCGAAAGCCUGAUGCAGCGACGCCGCGUGAAGGAUGAAGGUCUUCGGAUUGUAAACUUCUAUCAGCAGGGAAAAAGGGCCUAUGGCCUAUGACGGUACCUGACUAAGAAGCCCCGGCUAACUACGUGCCAGCAGCCGCGGUAAUCA
rnacentral:rRNA from 1 species